rnacentral:rRNA from 1 species
UACGUAGGGAGCAAGCGUUGUUCGGAUUUACUGGGCGUAAAGGGCGCGUAGGCGGCGCGGUAAGUCACUUGUGAAAUCUCUGAGCUUAACUCAGAACUGCCAAGUGAUACUGCUGUGCUCGAGUGUGGAAGGGGCAAUCGGAAUUCUUGGUGUAGCGGUGAAAUGCGUAGAUAUCAAGAGGAACACCUGAGGUGAAGACGGGUUGCUGGGCCGACACUGACGCUGAUGCGCGAAAGCCAGGGGAGCGAACGGG